CGGUAAUUCCAGCUCCAAUAGCGUAUACUAAUGUUGUUGCAGUUAAAAAGCUCGUAGUCGGAUUUCAGAAUUAACAUUUCGCCUCUUAUGGCCGUGAUGUUUUUUCUUCUUAACGAGAAGCUAUCGUCGCCUUAGUUGGUUGCGGUAGGGUAUCGUUUAUUUUACUUUGAGAAAAUUAGAGUGUUCAAAGCAGGCAUUUGCCCGAAUAUUACUCUUGGAAUAAUCGUAUAGGACUUUGGUUCUCAUUUGAUGGUUUGGAGGCCGAAGUAAUGAUUAAUAGGGACGGUUGGGGUCAUUCGUACUGCAAAGCGAGCGGUGAAAUGCUUGGACCUUUGUAUGACGACCUACUGCGAAAGCAUUUGACUAGGACGUUCCCGUUGAUCAAGAACGAAAGUUGGGGGAUCGAAGACGAUCAGAUACCGUCGUAGUCUCAACCAUAAACUAUGCCAGCUAGGGAUUGGAAGUUGCUCUAUCAUGACACUUUCAGCACCUUAUGAGAAAUCAAAGCAUUUGGGUUCCGGGGGGAGUAUGGUCGCAAGGCUGAAACUUAAAGGAAUUGACGGGAGGGCACCACCAGGAGUGGAGCCUGCGGCUUAAUUUGAUUCAACACGGGAAAACUUACCAGGUCCGGACAAAGUAAGGAUUGACAGAUUGAAAGCUCUUUCUUGAUUCUUUGGGUGGUGGUGCAUGGCCGUUCUUAGUUGGUGGAGUGAUUUGUCUGGUUAAUUCCGUUAACGAACGAGACCUCAGCCUGCUAAAUAGUAUCUUCAUAUUUAUAUGUUGCUAUACUUCUUAGAGGGACUACUUAUGCUAUAACUGAGCGGAAGCUUGAGGCAAUAACAGGUCUGUGAUGCCCUUAGAUGUUCUGAGCCGCACGCGGGCUACACUGGUGAUCUCAACAAGCCUUCACUUAACUGAAAAGUUAGGUUAAUCUUUGAAAUAUCACCGUGCUUGGGAUAGACUAUUGCAAUUUUUAGUCUUCAACGAGGAAUUCCUAGUAAACGCGAGUCAUCAGCUCGCAUUGAUUACGUCCCUGCCCCUUGUACACACCGCCC
rnacentral:rRNA from 1 species